UACGGAGGGUGCAAGCGUUAUCCGGAUUCACUGGGCUUAAAGGGUGCGUAGGUGGGCAGGUAAGUCAGGGGUGAAAUCCCAGAGCUCAACUCUGGAACUGCCUUUGAUACUGGCGACCUAGAGUUCGGAAGAGGUUAGUGGAAUUCCCAGUGUAGAGGUGAAAUUCGUAGAUAUUGGGAAGAACACCAGUGGCGAAGGCGGCUAACUGGUCCGAUACUGACGCUGAGGUGCGAAAGCGUGGGGAGCAAACAGG
rnacentral:rRNA from 1 species